UUUUAUAUUUUGUUCAGUGUAGCUAGGAGUAAAUACUGGUUAGCUCAUAGAAUACCAAUGCAUUAAUCUCAUUUAACUACUGUAUAGCCUACAUUUUAUGUACACAAAUGUCACUCAGAGAUGACAGUCGUCCCUUAUUGUGACCCCCUCAUCCAUCUGGCGUGGGUUAACUUGACUGUUGACUUUCUCUGUGAUCCAGUGAGAUGGCUUUAUCUGCCCAUAGCUGUUUGUGAACAUCACAGGCCUCCAUUACCACUAAUGGGAAAAGUGCAUCAAGGGAGCAGGCUACUCCUUCCUUACUAUUGUGAAUCCCUGGGGAAACAAAUCUCUCUCUCGUACCAGUACUAGUACCAGUCAAAAGUUUGGACACCUACUCAUUCAAGGGUUUUUCUUUAUUUUUACCAUUUCCCACUCUUUGCCUUGAUGACAGCUUUGCACACUCUUGGCAUUCUCUCAACCAGCUUCACUUUGAAUGCUUUUCCAACAGUCUUGAAGGAGUUCCCACAUAUGCUGAGCACUUGUUGGCUGUUUUUCCGUCACUCUGCGGUCCAACUCAUCCCAAACCAUCUCAAUUGGAUUGAGGGCAGGUGAUUGUGGAGGCCAGGUUAUCUGAUGCAGCACCAUCACUCUCCUUCUUGGUCAAAUAGCCCUUACACAGCCUGAAGGUGUGUUGGGUUAUUGUCCUGUUGAAAAACAAAUGAUAGUCCCACUAAGCCCAUACCAGAUGGGAUGGCGUAUUGCUGUAGAAUGUUGUGGUUGCCAUGCUGGUUAAGUGUGCCUUGAAUUAUAAACAAAUCACAGACGGUGGUACCAGCAAAGCACCAUCACACCUCCUCUUCCAUGCUUUACGGUGGGAAAUACACAUGCGGAGAUCAUCCGUUCACCCACACCACGACUCACAAUGACACGGCGGUUGGAACCAAAUAUCUCCCAUUUGGACUCCAGACUAAAGGACAAAUUUCCAUCGGUCUAAUGUCUGUGACUUCAUCUAUUUUCUGAGGCUGGUAUAACUAAUGAACAUAUCCUCUGCAGCAGAGGGAACUCUGGGUCUUCCUUUCCUGUGGCGGUCCUCAUAUGAGAGCCGGUUUCAUCAAAGCGCUUGAUGGUUUUUGCGACUGUACUUGAAGAAAGUACGGUAAUUGACAUUUUCUGGAUUGACUGACCUUCAUGUUUUAAAGUAAUGAUGGACUGUCAUUUCUCUUUGCUUAUUUGAGCUGUUCUUGCCAUAAUAUGGACUUGGUAUUUUUCUGUAGCCCCCCCACCUUGUCACAACACAACUGAUUGGCUCAAACGCAUUGAGGAAAGAAAUUCCACUUUUUUUUUUAAGGCACACCGUUUAAUUUAAAUGCAUUCCAGGUGACUAACUCAUGAAGCUGGUUGAGAGAAUGUCACGUGUGUGCAAAGCUGUAAUUGAGGCACAGGGUGGCUUUUUGAAGAAUCUCAAAUAUAACAUAUAUUUAGAUUUGUUUAACACUUUUUUGGGUUACUUCACAAUUCCAUAGGUGUUAUUUCAUAGUUUUGAUGUCUUCACUAUUAUUCUACAAUGUAGAAAAUAGUAAAAACAAAAACUCUCUUGUUCUAAAACUUUUGACAGGUAAGGUGUGUGUGUGGUGUGGAUGUAUGUAUGACAUUCUGCAACGUAAGCUGAAAGAGAUAUGGCAUACAUUUACUGUCAUAAUGGAAGUGUUGAUGGAAAAUAAAACGCUCCAGUAACUUUAUUCUCCAACACAACUUAGGUUUGAAUUGCCAUGGCAAUAUACAGGAAAAGCAAUGUAAACUACCAUGUACUGAAUAGUAUUUUUUUGUUUUGUUUAAGACUAAACCAACUGUCUACAGAGCAGUGUGUCCACAGAACAAUAAAAUCACUGCACUGAUGUUCUUGAAAUGGCAUUGCACUUAACAUACUGUUUGUUGUAGCUACAUGUCCAGCAAGCAAUCAAAAUGUUAUGAAGUUAACAUUAUAAUGGUCAUAAUCUUUAGUACUGUAUUAUGGUCACUGAGUACAUUAAAAAGGGCUGCAUAGGGAUCCAGUGAGCAAGUAGUCAGCAUCAUUACUAUCAUAAUCCUCUUUGUUUUUAAUCAAUGUUCAUGUUAAGUUACCAUACAAAAGUAUCCUGGAUGGCUGAGUGUGGAAGAAUGUAUGUUAAAUCCAUUUCUGGUUUAAAGGGACACUGAUAAGAAUGAGGAUUUAUGAAAUGGAUGCAAGUGUCAAUAUCAAUCAAAUGCAAUGAAAAGAGAAUUGACAGUAUGAUAAUGGAUGUCAAUCAUGGGAUGAAGGUUCAGAAAGUUACAAAUGAGUUUCUGCAAUAACAAAUCUGGUACUGAGGACAUUGUCCUGCUUUCAGCUUGGCUUUUGCUCAGGCUAUUUGACACUUUCAUACUGUAGCUGUGUGGAUACUAUAAAAUAAUAGUCUGUAUGUAAUGUAACCUGUCAUUUUAUUUUGUAAACUGUACAAAUGAAAAUAUUGGUUGAAUAAACACAUUUUCUAAUGGCAGUGUUAUCAAUAAAGCCUACAUUUCCUUUAA